CAGCCGCCGCGGGAAUACGAAGGGUGCAAGCGUUAAUCGGAAUUACUGGGCGUAAAGCGUGCGUAGGCGGUGGUUUAAGUCCGUUGUGAAAGCCCUGGGCUCAACCUGGGAAUUGCAGUGGAUACUGGGUAACUAGAGUGUGGUAGAGGAUAGUGGAAUUUCCGGUGUAGCGGUGAAAUGCGUAGAGAUCUGAAGGAACAUCUGUGGCGAAGGCGACUAUCUGGGCCAACACUGACACUGAGGCACGAAAGCGUGGGGAGCAAACAGGAUUAGAUACCCCCGUAGUCCCUGUCUCUUAUCC
rnacentral:rRNA from 1 species